rnacentral:rRNA from 1 species
UACGGAGGGGGCAAGCGUUGUUCGGAAUUACUGGGCGUAAAGGGCGCGUAGGCGGCCUGAUAAGUAGGGGGUGAAAUCCUGCGGCUUAACCGCAGGGCUGCCUUCUAAACUGUCAGGCUUGAGCACAGUAGAGGCAGGUGGAAUUCCCGGUGUAGCGGUGGAAUGCGUAGAGAUCGGGAAGAACAUCAGUGGCGAAGGCGGCCUGCUGGGCUGUUGCUGACGCUGAGGCGCGACAGCGUGGGGAGCAAACAGG